GUCUACGGCCAUACCACCCUGAACACGCCCGAUCUCGUCUGAUCUCGGAGCUAAGCAGGGUCGGGCCUGGUUAGUACUUGGAUAGAAGGCAUAUUUGUUUAUCCUCUACU
rnacentral:rRNA from 1 species